rnacentral:misc_RNA from 1 species
UUUUUAAAUGGAACCUAUGGAAAUGCACAGAAUCAGCAAGUAAAGGAUGAAUAACAUUUUAUUUAAAACAACCUCUAAAUAGAGGUGACACAAUUUUAUCCAAUUUCUGUGACAUCUAGGUGAAACUAAUAAAAUCCCAGGAGUAAAUUCGCUGUUGCACGUGUUAGAUCUAACAGCAUCACACUGCCUGGAUCACACCCCCCACUUCAACAGCAGCAACAUGAUCAAAUCAAAUGAUAGAUGGCCUUAAUAUGAUAAAUUGACACUUAACAAACCUCCAUACACAACUGCAAUCUAUAGUUGGUUCAAACUUCCAGUGUAGGCAUCACUUUAUAUAAUUACAUACAAUUGAAUUGCAAAUGCAGACCAAAGUUAACUUUUACACAAUUUUCGAAUUCAAUUAUUUCAGAAACAAAAUGUACCAUAAUAAUAGAAUUAUACGACCAAAAGAAAAGUAAAAGAAAUUCAAUGUAAUUUCUCUCGCAAAUUAAAAAAAAAAAAUUUCCAAUUUCAUUCUCAAGUCCUACAUUCCAAAAACAAAUGAUGACACAUUCUUGAAAUGCAGUAGGAUUCAUGACUAGUUCAGAAAUCAUAUUCUAAUAAUUCCUGCUUUCAUUCCCAUUCUUUGAAAAAAAAA